GGUUAAGUUAAUAAGGGCGCACGGUGGAUGCCUUGGCACUAGAAGCCGAAGAAGGACGUGACAAACGACGAAAUGCUUUGGGGAGCUGUAAGUAAGCGCUGAUCCAGAGAUGUCCGAAUGGGGGAACCCACUAACUAAUGGUUAGUAUCCAUAACUGUUAAGGUUAUGAGAAGGAAGACGCAGUGAACUGAAACAUCUAAGUAGCUGCAGGAAGAGAAAGCAAACGCGAUUGCCUUAGUAGCGGCGAGCGAAACGGCAGGAGGGCAAACCGAAGUGUUUACACUUCGGGGUUGUAGGACUGCGACGUGGGACUUUAAAAGGAUAGAAGAAUUACCUGGGAAGGUAAGCCAAAGAGAGUAAAAGCCUCGUAUUUAAAAUUCUUUUGAGCCCUAGCAGUAUCCUGAGUACGGCGAGACACGUGAAAUCUCGUUGGAAUCUGGGAGGACCAUCUCCCAACCCUAAAUACUCUCUAGUGACCGAUAGUGAACCAGUACCGUGAGGGAAAGGUGAAAAGCACCCCGGGAGGGGAGUGAAAUAGAACCUGAAACCGUGUGCCUACAACAAGUUCGAGCCCGUUAAUGGGUGAGAGCGUGCCUUUUGUAGAAUGAACCGGCGAGUUACGAUAUGAUGCGAGGUUAAGUUGAAGAGACGGAGCCGUAGGGAAACCGAGUCUUAAUAGGGCGAUUUAGUAUCAUGUUGUAGACCCGAAACCAUGUGACCUACCCAUGAGCAGGUUGAAGGUGAGGUAAAACUCACUGGAGGACCGAACCAGGGCACGUUGAAAAGUGCUUGGAUGACUUGUGGGUAGCGGAGAAAUUCCAAACGAACUUGGAGAUAGCUGGUUCUCUCCGAAAUAGCUUUAGGGCUAGCGUCGAUGUUAAGUCUCUUGGAGGUAGAGCACUGUUUGGGUGAGGGGUCCAUCUCGGAUUACCAAUCUCAGAUAAACUCCGAAUGCCAACGAGAUAUCAUCGGCAGUCAGACUGCGAGUGCUAAGAUCCGUAGUCGAAAGGGAAACAGCCCAGACCACCAGCUAAGGUCCCAAAAUAACUGUUAAGUGGAAAAGGAUGUGGGGUUGCACAGACAACUAGGAUGUUAGCUUAGAAGCAGCUAUUCAUUCAAAGAGUGCGUAAUAGCUCACUAGUCGAGUGACCCUGCGCCGAAAAUGUACCGGGGCUAAAACAGUUUACCGAAGCUGUGGAUGACACAAAAGUGUCAUGGUAGGAGAGCGUUCUAUGUGUGAAGAAGGUGUACCGUGAGGAGCGCUGGAACGCAUAGAAGUGAGAAUGCCGGUAUGAGUAGCGAAAGACAGGUGAGAAUCCUGUCCACCGUAAGACUAAGGUUUCCAGGGGAAGGCUCGUCCGCCCUGGGUUAGUCGGGACCUAAGGAGAGACCGAAAGGUGUAUCCGAUGGCCAACAGGUUGAUAUUCCUGUACUAGAGUAUAUAGUGAUGGAGGGACGCAGUAGGCUAACUAAACCGGACGAUUGGAAGAGUCCGGCUAAGCAGUGAGGUGUAAGAUGAGUCAAAUGCUUAUCUUUAUAACAUUGAGCUGUGAUGGGGAGCGAAUUUUAGUAGCGAAGUUAGUGAUGUCACACUGCCAAGAAAAGCUUCUAGCGUUUAAUGAUACUCUACCCGUACCGCAAACCGACACAGGUAGUCGAGGCGAGUAGCCUCAGGUGAUCGAGAGAACUCUCGUUAAGGAACUCGGCAAAAUGACCCCGUAACUUCGGGAGAAGGGGUGCUGACUUAGGUCAGCCGCAGUGAAUAGGCCCAAGCAACUGUUUAUCAAAAACACAGCUCUCUGCUAAAUCGUAAGAUGAUGUAUAGGGGGUGACGCCUGCCCGGUGCUGGAAGGUUAAGAGGAGGGUUUAGCGCAAGCGAAGAUCUGAAUUGAAGCCCCAGUAAACGGCGGCCGUAACUAUAACGGUCCUAAGGUAGCGAAAUUCCUUGUCGGGUAAGUUCCGACCCGCACGAAAGGCGUAAUGAUUUGGGCACUGUCUCAACGAGAGACUCG
rnacentral:rRNA from 1 species